CGGAGUGAAAGAGAAAAGAAGGACCACGAGCUUCCCAGCCCCCAAAAAUGCCCCAGUCUUCUCACCACCCGGCCGCCUCCCAUGACCAGAAACCCCCGGCCACCACGAGCCUACCACCCCGGCCGCCGCUGGCCUCCAUCCCCGGCCGCUGCUGGCCUCCAUCCCCGACCGCCGCGAGGCUCCCACCCCCGGCCGCUACGAGGCUCCCACCCCCGGUCAUCUCUGGCCUCCAUCCCCAACCGCCGCGAGGCUCCCACCUCCGCCCACCGCUAGCCUCCAUCCCCGGCCGCCGCGAGGCUCCCACCCCCGGCCACCGCGAGCCUCAAUCCCCGGCCGCCGCGAGCGCCACCGCCCUGCGUGCCCGCAUAUGUCCCAUUCCCGGCGACAAGGUCGCCGCCUAUGGAUCUCUCCUGUAGCCUCCGUUUGUGCUAGUGGAGGGAGAAAUCAGAGAUGGAGUUGGCGAAUUUCUUGUGCCUUUUCUGUUCAAUGGAUAGAUGGAUGGAUGGGUGUAGUUCUCUGAAUGUAACCUGUGAUCCAGUGCUGCUCAACUUCCUCUGAACCCCUAAUCUUGUUCUGCUCCCAGUCAUUAUCAGUUCGACAAAAGGUUGUAGAAAAGGUCAGAGUUGAGACUAGUUGUCAUUAAGGUUAGCCCCUUUGUUUCAGAUUCAGUAUCUCCAUUACCAGUAUAAAAAAAAGGGCCAGCGGCCCAAUCCUAGUGCCGCUCAUGAUCUCCCUCUCCAAGCACCGCACCCAUUAAGCACCCACACAUGGGCAAAUCCUGGCGCCGCUCGUGAUCUCUGCCUCCGUCAGUUCCACUUCGCCGGAGCAAUCAGUCUAGAGGAGGAGGUGUAGCCGGUCCUCCUGAUCUCCGACGUCUUAUUCCAACUCCAAAAAAAUUCUUUUUGAGUUCUAUUCUUAGUCACAGUACACAUGCAGCUUCUAAACUUCUUGUCCAGUCAUUCUAGUACUGAUGAAGAUCGAGUUGAUUGAAAUUAUGUAGUCGAUUACUGAGACCCUUACUAGUCCUUCCAUAUAUAGAACUUAUGCCUGAUAGGGACAUGACUUAUCUCUUUGUUGCCUGCUUGUUUUUGUAAAAUUCUUUGAACUUACUUAGGUGAUAUAUUUGGACCUUUGCCUCAUUAGUACAACAUCACACUCCAUAGCCGGGCACGAGAAAAGCUGCGUGCAGGCCACCCUAUGCUCCGUCCUCUAUCCGCCUCAGUCAUCUCCCUCUCAUUCUCUCUCUGCUCCGUGUGUGUGUGCAGGGAGUGGGAGGAGAUAGAGCAGGGGCGUGGGAGGCCCUUCCACGGUGAAUGCAUAUGCAUCUUCCAUGGAGAUUGUGAGCUCUCUCAAUUAUUGCUUGAGGAUUUAUAUUAUUGGUUUGUCCACUGUAGUUCUUGUAUAGCGGCGUCCUCUUUUUCUCAUGUUCCUCUUUAGAUGUUGCUGCAUGUGUUUAAUGACCCACUGAUAUGAUUUCUGGAAACAAGCUUCAGUACAGAGAAGCUUCAGUAUGAGAAAAAAUGGGUCAUUAGUUCAUCCAUAUGCAACCUCCCGCGUGGUCAUCCAUUUUUAUUUGGAGCCUACUCACUACAAAGCACAAAAGAGGUUGGUGCUCACCUUCUUUGAGACCGCCGCCCACUCCCACAUUUACAGGCUCUACGACAAGACCUACUGCCUCGGCACCGCCACCGAUUGUGGAGUUUGAAGUAGCGGAGACGACAACCAUAUGUAGAUCGGCGAGUGCGGGAUCAACCUCAGCAGCAGCCAGAAGCAGCGCAUUCAGCUCGCCCGCGUCGUCUACCAGGACUGCGACAUCUAACUCCUUGACGACGUCUUCAGCACCAUCGAUGCGCACACCGGCAGUGAGAUCUUCAAGCCGGCCGUGUUGUGUAUUCUGGUCAGUUCGUGUGUGUAUUGUGUUGCCCUCGAGCUGUAUGAGAGGCCGCCCGCAGAGCCGAGGAAGUCGUCGAUCUGGUCGAGGCAUGCUCUUAUUCUCAAUUUUCAGUAGCACAGAAAUUUGAAAGUUCGAAUGCCAGACCUUGGUAAGUUCUCCUUGACAAAACAUCAUCUCUCAUAUUUGUUCCUACUUUUGUAGGUUGCAGCAAAAACAAGAUGCACAAGUUCAUUUUUUGUAUGCUUUUCAGUACAUCUACUUCCUGACGGUGAGUCAUAUUUCCUUUGUGUUUCCAUCUUCAUAUAUAGCACAAACAAGUGCUUGUGGUUAUGCUUCAGAAUGAGAACCGUACUGCCUCUUGGUUCAGUUCAAUAUAUAAUUUUAGUUAAGUGCAAUAUAUAAUUUUAGUUUAGUUCAAUAUCUUGAGUAUCACCUUUUUCUGCCAUGAACUCAUGCUAACUAUGAGCAACUAAAUUCACUCUGAAUAUGAUGAUACUAAACCAUAAGUUAGCUCUGAACUCACAUAUUUGUCUUAACAAUUGACAGGUCUGAAUAUGUUGCCCCCACCAUGCCGAUUUACUGCUGCGACCUCGUUGAUUCCCCGCCUUCGAACUGCUCCCUCAAUCCCCUCCGUGGACCACCGCCGACGGUGGGCUGCACCUUCCACGGGAAGCCAUGUGACCGUGUAGACGCACGUCUUCAUUGAGUCGCUCACUGCGCAUAUGUGUGUGUUGUGUUCGUGCGUGCGUGGCCGCGACCAUGCUUCGCAUUUCGGUGUUGUCUAUGUGUGGUCGUGUGGGCGUCUCACCUCAAACACAUCCCAGGCCGGUGCACGAGUUGCUGAGGAAACGCCCAAGGUUGUGGCCACUCGACCACAACUUCGUCUCCUGGAAGGUGUUGGAUGUGGACAGCCAGAACGAGUUCAAGUCUAUGUGGUUCAUCGAGGAGAAAAAGAAGAGGAACUCAACUUGUUUCUCUGUGGACAAGGCCAGAAGAAAUUGUGCUCUGAACAUGCUUGUUGAUACGCCCAUGAGAACGGGUGCAUUUUUCUAUAGAUUUUUGUGUUGCUGACAAAGCUACACAAGUUCUACUUUUACAAGUUGAACUUUAGAACAUCCUAUAGAAAGUUCGUGCAUGUAUGGAUGUUCUUUUGACAUUGAGCUAUUAAGUGCUUGCAAAAUCUACAGUUUUGAUCCAUCAA